rnacentral:rRNA from 1 species
GCUGACGAGUGGCGGACGGGUGAGUAAUGCUUGGGAACUUGCCUUUAGGUGGGGGAUAACAGUUGGAAACGACUGCUAAUACCGCAUAAUGUCUACGGACCAAAGGGGGCUUCGGCUCUCGCCUNGAGAGAGGCCCAAGUGAGAUUAGCUAGUUGGUGGGGUAAAGGCCUACCAAGGCAACGAUCUCUAGCUGUUCUGAGAGGAAGAUCAGCCACACUGGGACUGAGACACGGCCCAGACUCCUACGGGAGGCAGCAGUGGGGAAUAUUGCACAAUGGGGGAAACCCUGAUGCAGCCAUGCCGCGUGUGUGAAGAAGGCCUUCGGGUUGUAAAGCACUUUCAGUUGUGAGGAAAGGUUGGUAGUUAAUACCUGCCAGCUGUGACGUUAACAACAGAAGAAGCACCGGCUAACUCCGUGCCAGCAGCCGCGGUAAUACGGAGGGUGCGAGCGUUAAUCGGAAUUACUGGGCGUAAAGCGCACGCAGGCGGCUUGUUAAGCUAGAGGUGAAAGCCCCGCGCUCAACGUGGGAACUGCCUUUAGAACUGGCAGGCUAGAGUCUUGGAGAGGGGAGUGGAAUUCCAGGUGUAGCGGUGAAAUGCGUAGAUAUCUGGAGGAACAUCAGUGGCGAAGGCGGCUCCCUGGCCAAAGACUGACGCUCAUGUGCGAAAGUGUGGGUAGCGAACAGGAU